GGAGGAGACAGUUGAAAAUGCCUGUGUGAUGCUGGGCAGGCAAGGGAUUCUGGGCUUGAGUGUCAGCAUAGCUAAUACGAGCAAGCUUGAGUACUUGAAGCUGGCACCUCCUUCUUGGGUUCAAGCCAUUGCCCCUUCUCUUUAUAGAGAAUUCCAUUGUAUGGGAAGAUAGAAACUGGGGAUGAUUAGAGGAAAAGAUUUUAAUCAGAACGUUAGUGUCAUGUUGGGAGUUACAUAAUUCAGGGGUUGCCAAUACCCUUUGGUCAACACAGAAGAUCCAAGUAUAUGCAAGAAUAGCUUAAUUUAGGCUGGGUGUGGUGGCUCACGUUUGUAAUCCCAGCACUUUGGGAGGCCGAGGCGGGCAGAUCACAACGUCAGGAGAUUGAGACCAGCCUGGCCAACAUGGUGAAACCCUGUCUCUACUAAAAAUACAAAAAUUAACCAGGCAUGGUGGUGCAUGCCUGUAAUUCCAGCUACUCAGGAGGCUGAGGCAGGAGAAUCUCUUGAACCCGGGAGGUGGAGGUUGCAGUGAGCUAAGAUUGCGCCACUGUACUCCAGCCUGGUGACAGAGUGAGACACAAUCCUAAAAAAAAAAAAAAAAAAAAAGCUCAAUUUCUCCAUCGAAUGGGGACACUUCUGAGAAAAUUGUUUGCUCAAUCUGUUCAAGUUGUUCUGAAGAAAUAAUUGCCUUAGUGAGUGGGUGAUUGGGACUUGGUAUGGCCACAGGCUCUCUCACAAGAUGAUGUAUCUAUGAACCACGGGCUGACUAUUUCUCUCCUGUAGAGUGGAAGGUGCUGAUGCUCUUUCACAACUGCUCGGACUAUACAGAUGUGAUUUAACUGAUGAUGUCACAAUAGUCUAUUAUAAGUAACCUUCACUAUCUGGGUUGGAAGAUCCUCUUCUAAGAUGAUUUCUUCAUUCACACAUCUGGCGCCUGGAGUGAGAUGUUUGAAGGACAGGCUCCUCUGGGACUGUCAACUGGAGCUGUCAACAUGCCCUUUCAAGAUGGCAGCCUUGAGACUCAAAGAUGGAGAAGGAAGGGAUUAAAAGAGUCAUGGAAGUGGUCAUGCUGGAGUGGAUACAUUACGGGAGGCCAGAAGACUCACCAGAUUAUGUUCCAUGGGAAUGCACUCUUCACCAAAGCCACCAGGACUCCCUGGUAAGAGGAGCACCAGCAUCUCUAAGAAGUUAGUGGUCCAGCCUUCUUUAUAGACUAGGGCUGAUGGUAAAAGUGACUGUCACAAAACUUGGCCCAUUGAUAGCUCUCUCUUCUUGAAGCAGUGGGGCCCUCUCUCCUUGAAGCAGUGAAGCUCUCUCACCUUGAAGCAGUAGAGGCUAGGUAGCAGCAUUUAACAAACAGAAGCCAAGGGGUUCUAAAUAUCAUUAUAGCCAGCAAGGUUGGAGUGACAAUCAAGGGGUCUUGACCCAUGGAGAGUUGUGGUAAUGGUUAAUAGAACAAGCAUCCCUAGAGGGAAAAUGAAAUGAAAAUCUCUGAAACUGUCCCCUUCUCCCAGGAAAAGAGAGUAGAUUGGAAACAAUAUUGCAAUCUAGUGGAGGGGAUGGUGGAAACUAAUGCCACCAUUAAGGAUAUAAAAAAUGCAAGGAAAAUGGUUGUUAUCAUAUCUAUUUAGUUUGCAAGUCUGGCUUCUGCAGAAACUGGAUGGAUAUUAGAGAAUGACUGUGGAACACUGUGAGCUCAACCAGGUAGUAGCCUGAUUGCAGCUUCUAUAACCAGGUGCUGACUCAUGCCAGGUAUUAAGUACAUGUUAUGUACUUUGAUUUGAUUGAUUGAUUUGUUAUGUACUUUGAUUGAUUUGGCAAAUGCAUUCUGUACCAUAACAAGUAGGAAAGAGGAUAAGAAAAAGUUCCCAUUCACGUGAAUGGAAAAUAUUCAUUUACAGUUUUCCCUUGGACUGUUAACUCUCAUCUUCUGCAUACUAUAGUCUGAAGAGAUCUGAAUUUUCAUGUAUCUCUCAAAACAACACAGUGAUCCGUUACAUGGGUGACAUCCUGCUGAUAGGGCAUGAUAGACAAGAAGUGGCCAUAUGUUGGACACCAUGUAAGACAUAUGUAUUCUGGCUGGGUGCAGUGGCUCCUGCCUGUAAUCCCAGCACUUUGGGAGGCCAAGGCGGGUGGAUUGCCUGAGGUUGGGAGUUCAAGACCAGCCUGGCCAACAUGUAGAAACCCCAUCUCUACUAAAAAUACAAAAUUAGCCGGGCAUGGCGGUGCAUGCCUGUAAUCCCGGCUACUGGGGAGACUGAGGCAGGAGAACCACUUGAACCCGGGAGGUAGAGGUUGCAGCAAGCCAAGAUUGUGCCAUUGCACUCCAGCCUGGGCAACAAGAGCAAAACUCCAUCUCAAAAAAAAAAAAAAAAAGAAGAAGAAAGAAAAAGAAAAAGAAAAAACAUGUAUUCCAUGAGGUGGGAGAUAAAUCUUAUAAAUAUUUAUGGACUUGUCAUUUCAGCAAAGGUUUUAUGGGUUCAGUUGUCAGGGGCAUACAGGGAUAUCUCCUUUAAAGUGAAAAACAAAUUAACGUAAUAUAUUAGCACAAGGAUAAGAAAAUAAACCAUUGGAACAGAACAGGAAUUCCAAAAGCAGACCACACGUGUAUGGAUCCAACAUGGCACCACAAAACAAAGGGAAAAUGAUAAUUGUGAUGUUUAAUUUUACAUGUCAACUUGACUGGGCCAUGAGGUACCCAGACAUUUGAUCAAUCAUUACCCUGGGUGUUUCUGUGAGGGCAUUUUUGGAUGAGAUUUACAUUGAAAUCAAUAAACUGAGCAAAGCAGAUUGCCUUCUCUAAUGUGGUGGGCUUCAUUCAAUUAGUUGAAGGUCUGAAUAGAACAAAAAGGCUGACCCUCCUGCCUGUAAGAGGGAAUUCCUCUUGCCUGAUUGCUUUCACACUGGGACAUGGGUUUUUCUCCUGCCUUUGAACUUAAACUGAAACAUCAUCUCUUCCUGGGCCUUAAGCCUGCCCAUUCUCAGGCUUUGAACUCAAACUGGGACUACACUAGCAGCUCUCCUGGGUCUCCAGCUUGCCAGCUCACCCUGCAGAUCUUGGAACUUGUCAGCCUUCAUAAUUAAAUGAGCCAAUUCUCUAAUUUCUUAUUUUGUAUACACACACCAUUGGUUCUGUGUCUCUGGGGAAUCCUGACUUAUACAAUGGUCUUACCAAUGAGUUGCCAAGGUCCAUUGGGUAUUCAUGUGGCAAAAAAUAAAUCUUGAACCCUUCCUCACACCAAACAUAAAAAUCAACUCCAGAUGGAUUGUAAUUUAAAUAUUAAUGCUGAAACAAUAAAGCUUCUACAAGUUAACAAAGGAGGAUAUCUUUAUUGCCUUAGGAUGGGGAAGAUUUCUCGUUAGAUCACAAAAGGCCUAACUGUAUAUAAAAGAUUGAAGCAUGUGACUCUAUUAAAAGGAAGAACAAUUGUGAAAAUCCAUUAAAGCAUUCUGCUCUACCAAAGGAGGCUGUGACCACUCAUUUCUGAGAAAUAUCUGUCAUGUGAAAACAUAAUCACAUGAUUAUGCAUAAUCCUAAGCAUAAUCCCUGGGUGCUUCCAACUCCUAGUCACCCAUGUGGAGAUACAACUUCCCCAUAAGCACCUCAAUCAACAAGUGAACCACUCGUUUGUGUACCCUAAAACUUUCAAGUAACCAUAGGCAACCCUGGGCUGAGAACUCACAUGACACCACCAUAGUUAAAAUGUCUUGCAUCAGCACCUCCAAUGUUCCCAUGGUCCAGGGCUGCCUAUAAAAAGGAGAGAUGACAGCUCAUACCCCAGAAGGAGGCCAGGAGUUGUGAAUUUCCAAGCCCCAGCUUGCUCUGACCAC
rnacentral:lncRNA from 1 species